GUACUGUACAAAACAUCAUGCUCAAUAGUACAAGAAACUGACCAACACAUUAUACUGAACUUGAGGUUACAGGAAAUAAAAAACAACAACAAUACAUUAAGAAAACAACCACAAUCUCCUCUAUAAUGUUGUGGUGGUGGUGGUGGCCAGUACCCUCAACACCACACAGUCCACCACAAUCUCCUCUAUAAUGUUGUGGUGCUGGUGGUGGUGGUGGUGGUGCAGGCCAGUACCCUCAACACCACAAAGUCCACCACAAUUUCCUCUAUAAUGUUGUGGUGAUGGUGGUGGUGGUGGUGGUGCAGGCCAGUACCCUCAACACCACAAAGUCCACCACAAUUUCCUCUAUAAUGUUGUGGUGAUGGUGGUGGCCAGUACCCUCAACACCACAAAGUCCACCACAAUUUCCUCUAUAAUGUUGUGGUGGUGGUGGUGGUGGUGGUGCAGGCCAGUACCCUCAACACCA